UCCUACGGGGGGCAGCAGUAGGGAAUUUUCGUCAAUGGGGGAAACCCUGAACGAGCAAUGCCGCGUGAGUGAAGAAGGCCUUCGGGUCGUAAAGCUCUGUUGUAAGAGAAAAACGGUAAUGAUAGGAAAUGAUCAUUAAGUGAUGGUAUCUUACGAGGAAGCCACGGCUAACUACGUGCCAGCAGCCGCGGUAAUACGUAGGUGGCAAGCGUUAUCCGGAUUUAUUGGGUUUAAAGGGUGCGUAGGCGGUCCGGAAAGUCAGCGGUAAACGCCCGGGGCUCAACCCCGGCGAGCCGUUGAAACUG
rnacentral:rRNA from 1 species